GCAUGGCAAUAGAUUUAUGGAGGGGUUUUCGACUAUAAGCCUUUCAUAGUGUAUGCCAUGCUAAAUUAGCACGACUACUCCGAACCAUUGUCAGGUCUUUAAAUGUAGACUUGCUCACUGAAGUGAGUAGAACAAAC